UCGUGGAGUGAUCUGUCUGCUUAAUUGCGUUUCACUAAGGACUCAGAUUUCAUGUGUGUAUGCGGCCGGCUUUGACCCUUAACUGCGUGUCUUAGUUCGGCUUGCGCACACUUCCGAGUCCUCAUAGCAACGAACGUGACCGCAACCUCUUGUUGCCUUUAUCCACGACAGCAGUCUUUAUGGCUGUUGUUCUAAAGGAAAACUAGAGGGACCGCUGCUUUUCUU
rnacentral:rRNA from 1 species